rnacentral:rRNA from 1 species
GGGAAACCCUGACGCAGCAACGCCGCGUGGGUGAUGAAGGUCUUCGGAUUGUAAAGCCCUGUUUUCUGGGACGAUAAUGACGGUACCAGAGGAGGAAGCCACGGCUAACUACGUGCCAGCAGCCGCGGUAAUACGUAGGUGGCGAGCGUUGUCCGGAUUUACUGGGCGUAAAGGGUGCGUAGGCGGAUGUUUAAGUGGGAUGUGAAAUCCCCGGGCUUAACCUGGGGGCUGCAUUCCAAACUGGAUAUCUAGAGUGCAGGAGAGGAAAGCGGAAUUCCUAGUGUAGCGGUGAAAUGCGUAGAGAUUAGGAAGAACACCAGUGGCGAAGGCGGCUUUCUGGACUGUAACUGACGCUGAGGCACGAAAGCGUGGGUAGCAAACAGGAUUAGAUACCCUGGUAGUCCACGCCGUAAACGAUGGAUACUAGGUGUAGGGGGUAUCAACUCCCCCUGUGCCGCAGUUAACACAAUAAGUAUCCCGCCUGGGGAGUACGGUCGCAAGAUUAAAACUCAAAGGAAUUGACGGGGGCCCGCACAAGCAGCGGAGCAUGUGGUUUAAUUCGAAGCAACGCGAAGAACCUUACCUGGACUUGACAUCCCUUGCAUAGCCUAGAGAUAGGUGAAGCCCUUCGGGGCAAGGAGACAGG